AGUGAACGCUGGCGGUAGGCCUAACACAUGCAAGUCGAACGGCAGCACAGUAAGAGCUUGCUCUUACGGGUGGCGAGUGGCGGACGGGUGAGGAAUACAUCGGAAUCUACUUUUUCGUGGGGGAUAACGUAGGGAAACUUACGCUAAUACCGCAUACGACCUACGGGUGAAAGCAGGGGAUCUUCUGACCUUGCGCGAUUGAAUGAGCCGAUGUCGGAUUAGCUAGUUGGCGGGGUAAAGGCCCACCAAUGCGACGAUCCGUAGCUGGUCUGAGAGGAUGAUCGGCCACACUGGAGCUGAGACACGGUCCAGACUCCUACGGGAGGAAGCAGUGGGGAAUAUUGGACAAUGGGCGCAAGCCUGGUCCAGCCAUACCGCGUGGGUGAAGGAGGCCUUCGGGUUGGAAAGCCCUUUUGUUGGGAAAGAAAAGCAGCAGGUUAAUACCCCGCUGUUCUGACGGCACCCAGAGAAUAAGCACCGGCUAACUACGUG
rnacentral:rRNA from 1 species